rnacentral:rRNA from 1 species
ACAUAGGGUCCAAGCGUUGUCCGGAUUUAUUGGGCGUAAAGAGCUCGUAGGCGGCAUGGUAAGUCGGGAGUUAAAACAUUGGGCUUAACCCAGUGUCGCUUCCGAUACUGCCAAGCUUGAGUAUGACAGGGGAGAACGGAAUUCCUGGUGUAGCGGUGAAAUGCGCAGAUAUCAGGAAGAACACCGAUGGCGAAGGCAGUUCUCUGGGUCAUUACUGACGCUGAGGAGCGAAAGCGUGGGUAGCGAACAGGA